rnacentral:rRNA from 1 species
AGUGAUUGUUGAAGUACCGGCCUMACCAAGGCAACGAUGCAUAGCCGACCUGAGAGGGUGAUCGGCCACAUUGGGACUGAGACACGGCCCAAACUCCUACGGGAGGCAGCAGUAGGGAAUCUUCGGCAAUGGACGCAAGUCUGACCGAGCAACGCCGCGUGAGUGAAGAAGGUUUUCGGAUCGUAAAACUCUGUUGUUAGAGAAGAACAAGGAUGAGAGUAGAAUGUUCAUCCCUUGACGGUAUCUAACCAGAAAGCCACGGCUAACUACGUGCCAGCAGCCGCGGUAAUACGUAGGUGGCAAGCGUUGUCCGGAUUUAUUGGGCGUAAAGCGAGCGCAGGCGGUUUCUUAAGUCUGAUGUGAAAGCCCCCGGCUCAACCGGGGAGGGUCAUUGGAAACUGGGAAACUUGAGUGCAGAAGAGGAGAGUGGAAUUCCAUGUGUAGCGGUGAAAUGCGUAGAUAUAUGGAGGAACACCAGUGGCGAAGGCGGCUCUCUGGUCUGUAACUGACGCUGAGGCUCGAAAGCGUGGGGAGCAAACAGGAUUAGAUACCCUGGUAGUCCACGCCGUAAACGAUGAGUGCUAAGUGUUGGAGGGUUUCCGCCCUUCAGUGCUGCAGCUAACGCAUUAAGCACUCCGCCUGGGGAGUACGACCGCAAGGGUG